UCUCAGAUGACCUGAAAUAUGCACCAUGUUUGCCCAAUUCAAAGUUACACACAGUGUGAAUCACACUAGCUAGAAACAGAUUAUUGCAGAUAAUGUUGACUUUGAAUAAAGGCUAAGUUAUCUGUUAGCGUCUCUCUUUCUCUAUCCGUGUAAUAUAAAUAUGCGAUGUUAACCCCUCAAAACUCUUAGGGAAAACAUGGGAGGACAAAAAAUUGGAAUUAUGGUUAUUCUUCUAUGCGGUGCAAUUCUUUUGGGAUCAGUUAAUCCAACAAAUGCAUGCCCACAAUAUUGCUUGGACUACGCGUAUAUGACUUGCCCAUCAUCAGGUAGCCAGAAGCUUGAUCCGGCCUGCAACUGCUGUUUAGCUCAAGGCUGCACCCUCUACCUCGCUGAUGGAACUUCAACUUAUUGCGAUUGAUGGAGCUUACAAUUAAUUUGCAUGCUCUUUACAAUCUUAAAUAUGUAUGUUUGCAAAUAAUGAGAUUGGAUUUGCAACAAUAAUAAAUUAUAAUAAUAAAACAAUAGAGACUUAUUGUCUCUAUAUUCUCUUA